rnacentral:rRNA from 1 species
GACGAACGCUGGCGGCGUGCCUAAUACAUGCGAGUUGAGCGCUGAAGGUUGGUACUUGUACCAACUGGAUGAGCAGCGAACGGGUGAGUAACGCGUGGGGAAUCUGCCUUUGAGCGGGGGACAGCAUUUGGAAACGAAUGCUAAUACCGCAUAAAAACUUUAAACACAAGUUUUAAGUUUGAAAGAUGCAAUUGCAUCACUCAAAGAUGAUCCCGCGUUGUAUUAGCUAGUUGGUGAGGUAAAGGCUCACCAAGGCGAUGAUACAUAGCCGACCUGAGAGGGUGAUCGGCCACAUUGGGACUGAGACACGGCCCAAACUCCUACGGGAGGCAGCAGUAGGGAAUCUUCGGCAAUGGACGAAAGUCUGACCGAGCAACGCCGCGUGAGUGAAGAAGGGUUUCGGAUCGUAAAACUCUGUUGGUAGAGAAGAACGUUGGUGAGAGUGGAAAGCUCAUCAAGUGACGGUAACUACCCAGAAAGGGACGGCUAACUACGUG